rfam:Pluralibacter gergoviae strain JS81F13 contig_85, whole genome shotgun sequence.
UUACCACUUUGUGAUUCAUGACUGGGGUGAAGUCGUAACAAGGUAACCGUAGGGGAACCUGCGGUUGGAUCACCUCCUUA